rnacentral:misc_RNA from 1 species
GCUAAAACAAUACCCUAUUGGCAUACCAAUCACAAUUACAUAUAAUUCAUGUAUUUCUCGUAAUUUGUACAUUCAUUAUUCCAUUCAUGAUAAUUGCGAUUCAUAUCGAUCAAUUUUCGUGUACUAUUUGUACAUCGAAAUGUUUUCCUAAGGCCCUCCAUAUGGAUUAUUCCUUUAUGUCUUAGAAUCACUAAAGUUCAAGAAUUUUUAAUUCACUAAUUAUGCUAUAUAUAUUAGUACUCAUAAUGGCUUCUUUAAUUUUUUUUAUUAUUCCUUAUGUUUUUGGGGUUACUAUUCACACAUUACUAUUCAUUCAAUUUGUUGACUUUUUCUUACAUAAUAGUUACAUGAAUUCUAACCACAUGAGAUUACUACAUUUUGGUUUAACAAAGUGUUGGCAUUGGUUGCCAAU